rnacentral:rRNA from 1 species
UACGUAGGGUGCGAGCGUUGUCCGGAAUUAUUGGGCGUAAAGAGCUCGUAGGCGGCCUGUCGCGUCGGAUGUGAAAGCCCGGGGCUCAACCCCGGGUCUGCAUUCGAUACGGACAGGCUGGAGUGUGGUAGGGGAGAUCGGAAUUCCUGGUGUAGCGGUGAAAUGCGCAGAUAUCAGGAGGAACACCGGUGGCGAAGGCGGAUCUCUGGGCCAUUACUGACGCUGAGGAGCGAAAGCGUGGGGAGCGAACAGG